AGCAUCGAAUUCAACAGAAAAACGUUACAAUAGAGCAAACUCUUUAAACUGUCCAUAUGUUUACAAAAGAGAUGGUGUGGACCAUUUUACUAAAACGUGUCAACAUUAACACUAUAGGGUCAGAUGGAGUUUUUGCCAGCUGAGAAAGUUUAGUUCCUUGUUCCAUGUAGCUGCGAAUUGCAUUCUUGCGCCAUCUACAAUUGUAGAUUUCCAAAAAAUAUUUACAUUACAUUAAACGUUUUUUGAGGAGCGGGAUUUAAAAGACCAACAGAUUAACUACAAGAAACUUAAUUGACUCCAAAAUCAUCUAGUCGCCGUUUCACUAAGGACAACUUUUGCAUUUUAUUUUUUUUGGAGCAAAUAAAUAUUUUGUAACCUA